rnacentral:misc_RNA from 1 species
CGCACAUUGCGCCUGCUGGUAUUCCGGUAGGCAUGCCUGUUUGAGCGUCAGCAAAACUCCUCAGCAAUUUAUUGCUGGUUAUGGGUACAGAGUAGACCUAACGGUCGCUUUUGCCUUAAACUUGCUGCACGACCGCAAGCUUAUGCUAGGUUAAUGGAGUGGUGUUUACAAUAUUCCAGCUGCCUUUUAGUAUAGCUAGUGGCGUUAAACCUGAUGUUGCUUAACCGCGACUUGAAGUUUGACCUCAAAUCAGACAAGGAUACCCGCUGAACUUAA